GGGUUAAAUAUUAGACCACAUUCAAAGCAUGUUUUUGUCGGGAGCAAUAUGUCCAGGAGUUCAAGAGUGUUAAAUUACCGUAACUACAAUGAUGAAGAUGAUGACGAUAACAAUGUUGAUGUUGAUGCAGAUUAUGAGGAAGAAGAUAAAUAUGAUCCUCAUGAUGCAGAUUUUGAGCCUGACUAUGGACUUGCAAGUUCUCAUGCAGGGAAUAAGGAUAAAGACUGGGAUGGUGAAUAUUCUAAGGAAGAA